ACCAAUGAGUCAAUUACAAGUACUAACUGUCUCACCUUUUACCCUUUUCCAUAAUUUUUUUUAUAUAUGUCUGGUAUCUGAUAUUGCUGUUAGUAAUGUCAAUAACACUAUAAGUAUAAUGUCUGUAAUAAAGUAAUAAAGAUAAAAACAUCAAUAUUGAUAGCAUUAGUAAAAAAGUAUAUAUAUUCCUGCAAACUCAAGGACAGGUAAAAUCAGGUGAGGGCACAAGGUCUAUUAAAUGACACAGUUGUGGCUAAGCACUUGCAUAACCAUCUAUAUGCAGAGAAAUUUCUCAAAACAAUACUGCAUAGAACACAUUUUUUCUGGAGGCUUUGAUUUAAUAAACUAAUAUUACAGUGAGCAUAACAUGUAUUCUUUCCAUCCAGCCUAAUAGAUUAGUAUACAAACUUAUUGAUAGAAAGAAAUACUCAUUAAAAUCCAUUGCUCUUUCUAUAUUUUUUUCUAUCAUUUCCAGUAAUAUCUUGUUUUUACUUUAUCAGGUAAUACCUAAUUCUUACAUGUUACUUUUCAGGCACUUCGGAUCUUGGUCAAUAAUGAAUUAAAUGAACUUGAAUAUGGCCUAAGAUUAGCUCACUACUAUCUGCAACCAGGAGCAUCUCUUGUUGCAAUUUCUUUCCAUUCACUUGAAGACACAAUUAUAAAGCGACGUAUAACUGGUAUGGACAUCGAUAAAACACCAUUAUCUAUUGGCUCAGGUGUGGGAAAACACCGAAGUUCCUUGUCAACUUAUUCAGCAGUCGAGAUGGUAAAUAUGAUGAAGAGACCAUGGACACCACUUGACAAGCAUGUAAUCUUACCAUCAGAAAGAGAAGUUCAGAAAAAUCCUCGAUCUCGGUCUGCAAAACUGAGGGCUGCUAGGAAAUGUUAAUACUACUAGGAACUUGAAAUUGGCUCACCAUAUUUUAAUAAAAUUGAUCAUUCUAAAGGGUUGCUUGUACUAAUAGCAGUCAGUGGUCUCUGACUAUUCAUUGCUAAUUAUGUACAGGAUAAUUUGUAAUGUCUUGUAUUUAAAUGUGUAUUAUACUGUAUAUACUUUUUUCCAUCACAUGGAUUAGGAAUAAAACUAAAAGUUGUAA